rnacentral:lncRNA from 1 species
UUAUUCUUUAUUUUUUAAAAAAUUUAACCUUUAUUUUUAUUUAUUUAUCUAUUUAUCUAUUUAUUUGUUUAUUUAUUUGUGUAUGUGUAGUGUCAAUGAUCAAACCCAAUGCCUCACACUCUACCACUGAGCUACAACCCCAGCCCCUCUGUUUUUCUAUUUUUCCUUUUUUUAUAGUUGUAGAUGGACAGGAUGCCUUUAUUUUAUUUGCAUAUUUUUUAAAAGACAUUUGUCAAAGUCACCACACCCAAUGUAACUUCUAGACUGAAUCACACUUAACAUGAAAAAGCAAGAAAAGGGAAAAGAAAGGAAGGAAGGAUGAUUUAGAAGAAGAGUAAGGAUUACCUUCCUGAGUGGCUCAGUAUUUUCAAUUUUGAAAGUAAUUUGAAACAUUCCAAUUGUAUAAAAAUGUGCCUGUUUAUUUAGUAAUUCAACACAUAUAUAGGGGGCAUCAGUCACUGCUUAAAGUAUUGCAAAUACUGCAUUAUAGCAAAGGACAAAACAAAGCCCUCUGAUUUUGUGACUCUUGUACUGCUCAAUCCCUCAUCUUAGAAUCAAAUUACAUUUUAUCUAUUGCCAUAGUAUUCUAUACCCCAAAUGAUAAACUUGGGGUCAGGGACUUGGAUUCUACUAUGAGCUUUACCCAUCCUUUAGUUUGGGGCUAGUUGUCAGAUUUUCUAAGUCUUAAUUUCCAAGGCUAUGUAACCUAGCUCUAGUGUUAAACUAAAUAUGGCCUGAGGCUACUUCUGUGCUUUGAAUCCCAACAUAAUUAACUGCAA